rnacentral:rRNA from 1 species
GACGAACGCUGGCGGCGUGCUUAACACAUGCAAGUCGAACGGUAAGGCCCUUCGGGGUACACGAGUGGCGAACGGGUGAGUAACACGUGGGUGAUCUGCCCUGCACUUCGGGAUAAGCCUGGGAAACUGGGUCUAAUACCGGAUAGGACCACUGCCUGCAUGGGUGGUGGUGGAAAGCCUUUGCGGUGUGGGAUGGGCCCGCGGCCUAUCAGCUUGUUGGUGGGGUGAUGGCCUACCAAGGCGACGACGGGUAGCCGGCCUGAGAGGGUGACCGGCCACACUGGGACUGAGAUACGGCCCAGACUCCUACGGGAGGCAGCAGUGGGGAAUAUUGCACAAUGGGCGCAAGCCUGAUGCAGCGACGCCGCGUGAGGGAUGACGGCCUUCGGGUUGUAAACCUCUUUCAGCACCGACGAAGCGCAAGUGGCGGUAGGUGCAGAAGAAGGACCGGCCAACUACGUGCCAGCCGCCGCCGUAAUAC